UACGGGGGGAGCAAGCGUUGUUCGGAUUUACUGGGCGUAAAGGGCGCGUAGGCGGCCAGCACAAGUCAGUUGUGAAAUCUCCGAGCUUAACUCGGAACGGUCAACUGAUACUGUGCGGCUAGAGUGCAGAAGGGGCAACUGGAAUUCUUGGUGUAGCGGUGAAAUGCGUAGAUAUCGAGAGGAACACCUGCGGCGAAGGCGGGUUGCUGGGCUGACACUGACGCUGAGGCGCGAAAGCUAGGGGAGCGAACGGG
rnacentral:rRNA from 1 species